AUUGAACGCUGGCGGCAGGCCUAACACAUGCAAGUCGAACGAGUGGCGGACGGGUGAGUAAUGUCUGGGAAACUGCCUGAUGGAAGGGGAUAACUACUGGAAACGGUAGCUAAUACCGCAUACCAUCGGAUGUGCCCAGGUGGGAUUAGCUAGUAGGUGGGGUAAAGGCUCACCUAGGCGACGAUCCCUAGCUGGUCUGAGAGGAUGACCAGCCACACUGGGACGGAGACACGGGCCAGACGCCUACGGGAGGCAGCAGUGGGGAAUAUUGGACAAUGGGGGCAAGCCUGAUGCAGCCAUGCCGCGUGUAUGAAGAAGGCCUUCGGGUUGUAAAGUACUUUCAGCGGGGAGGCGUUACCCGCAGAAGAAGCACCGGCUAACUACGUGCCAGCAGCCGCGGUAAUUC
rnacentral:rRNA from 1 species